UACGUAGGGACCAAGCGUUGUUCGGAUUUACUGGGCGUAAAGGGCGCGUAGGCGGCAAUUCAAGUCAGCUGUGAAAUCUCCGGGCUUAACUCGGAACGGUCAGCUGAUACUGUUUUGCUAGAGUGCAGAAGGGGCAAUCGGAAUUCUCGGUGUAGCGGUGAAAUGCGCAGAUAUCAGGAGGAACACCAAUGGCGAAGGCAGCUCGCUGGGACGGUACUGACGCUGAGACGCGAAAGCGUGGGGAGCAAACAGG
rnacentral:rRNA from 1 species